UUUUAUUAUUAACCAAUUAUUUCUGCUAUAAUUAUAUUUUAUAAUUUUAUUUGUUUUUAGUAAGUAUUAAAAAUAAUUUAGUGAUCAUUUUAUACUGUGAAGGUCCCUCUAUUUUAAAAAUUUAAAAAGUAUUUAAAAAGAGUACCUUUUGUAUCAGGGUAAAUUAAAUGAGUUAAUUAUGUUUUUAUUUUCCCGAAUUAAGGAGUUCUAUUGAAUUAUUUAAUAAAUUGUAUUAAAAAUUUCUAUUAUAGUUCUAUAGUAGUUAUAUGCUAGUCGUUCUUUAUUUAUCUGGUUAUUAAGGAUUUAAUAUAAUUAUAUAUCUACCAUUUUUAUUUCUCUUUAAAUUGGGUAGAUAUUCUACUAUUGGGGAUAAUCUCUAUAGUUUAAUUAUAAUAUGAAGGCGGAUUACAUUUAUUUUCUUUUAAAUUUUGAUUUCAGUUUUUAUUAAAUUUGUGUUUUUAUAUAAAAUUUUAUUUUAUUUAUUUUUUUACUUAAUUUUUAUAUUUAACAUAAUUUUAUUAUUAAUAAUGAUUUAAUUAGUAUAAUUUAAACUUUAAUAAAAAUGAACUCGACAAAUUUUUUGCUUCCAACUGUUUAUCAAAAACAUUUCCUUAUGUGUUUUUUUAAGGUACCUCCUGCCCUAUGAUAUUUUUAUUAAAUGGCUGCAGUAUUUUGACUGUGCAAAGGUAGCAUAAUAAUUAGUUUCUUAAUUAGGAGCUGGCAUGAAUGGAAAAAUGAGAUGUAUAUUUUAUUAUAUUUAUUUUUAAAAUUUAAAUUUUAGGUUAAAAUGCUUAACUUUUUUCCUGGGACGAUAAGACCCUAUAGAACUUUAUUCAUUUAAAUUUAAUUAAUUUUUAUAUUUCUAAUUUGGUUAAAUUUUUAUUGUUUUUUGCUGGGGUGGUGAUUAAAUUUAAACUUUAAUUUUAAAAAUCAUAAAUUUAUGUUUAUUUGAUCCCUUUUAGGGAAAAAAGACUAAGUUACCUUAGGGAUAACAGCGUAAUUUUAGUGGGGAGUUCACAUCUAUAUUAAAUUUUGCGACCUCGAUGUUGAAUUAAGAUAAAAUUGGGAAGCAGAAUUCUCAUAUUUAAGUCUGUUCGACUUUUAAAUUCUUACAUGAUUUGAGUUCAAACCGGCGUGAGCCAGGUUGGUUUCUAUCUAGGAAUAAUUUAAUUUAGUUAGUACGAAAGGACCACUAAAUUGUACAUUUAGUAUAAAAUUUAGA
rnacentral:rRNA from 1 species